ensembl:lncRNA
GCCCAAACAGGUCUGCUUCAGUCAAUGUUGGGGGAAUAGCCCUAUUAUUUUUAUGUCUGCGAUUACGAGGACAGCACCGUGACUAGUGCACCGACACAGAUAACAAAGAUGUAUUUAGGGCUAAAUAAUAUUGAGUCUACCUUUGUUUAAAGCCGGAAUCAAUACUUCUUAAAGCAUGUCCAUUUUUCAUUUAGCAAGCCUCUUGUCUGAGAGGAGGGUCAGGGAGAUGUAUGGAAGGGAGUGUGUUUUAAUUCUCUUUGUUGCUGUAGUAAUAAUAAUUGUCAGAACAUGUGCGGCUCCUAAAGAUCUGGUGAUAGGGAGGGUACGGACAGAAAUGACCAUUGGAGACAGAGUAACAUGGUCAUCCGUCAGUGAAGCAGAUGGGACUCAGAGGCCCUGUGGUGCAGGUGGAGAUGAAGUGGAGUAAAGUGUGAAAAGGGAUCUGGAGGGAGACAAAGAUGUUCACACACAGUGGAAUCGCUGCGGUGCCCAUCACAAAACGAGAAGUGAAUCAGAGAGAAUCACUGCAGAGUAAGUAAAGGAAACCAAUACCCCAUUGGGUGAAGUAAUACAAACAGAGAGCCAGAUUAUAAGGAGGGGAUGAAGUGACUGAGAAUGAGAGAGAGAGAGAGGGAGAAGGAAGAGAUGAAUGAAAGGUAAUUGCAUUAGAAAGUAAAGAAGGCCAGAAGGAAGGAAAUGAUUAGAGGAAAAGAGACUGAUAGCCGAUAGAGAGGGAGUCGGAGAGAUGGACAGAGAGAGAGAAGGGGGGUGGGGUGGGGGUGUUCAUUUACUCCUUUCAUUCAAUACACACUGACACUUCCUCAGUGUCAAUACAGAGAGUGUUUGUGUCUCCUCUAAGCACACUAUCUAGGUAACUUGUCUCUGUUAGUUGUUGUACUGUAUGUCUGAAAGAGUAUUAUACUUCGAAUGUAUUGGUAUCUAUUAGUAUUUUAUUUAGUAUUAUUUUAGUAUUCUUGAAAGUUUCAAGUAUAUAUACACACACACAUAUUAAUGAAACUUCUAUAAAUUAUUUUGCAUAUAAUUCAUUUAGAAGUGAUUUAGCAUGAAUUACUUUGUAGGUGUAUUACUUGUAUAUUAUAAUUAUUAUUUAUAUCUAAAACCCUAAUUUGCUGCAUUUUCUUAAACAAACCAUUUAGAAUCCCC